AAGACACUUUUUAUUUCAACCGUACUUCCCGUCAAAAGCCUAAAGACUGAUCGCACAGUUCCUGUCUUAACAAUAAAAGUGCCGCUCCAUCGCGCCUGCGCUAACAAAAUAAGAGUCUCCGAAAGCCAGAGCAAACAAGCGAGCAAGCUACGGAGUUUGCCGCCAAUGUAUUUCUUGUAAAGUGUAUAAAAACGAAUAUGGAAGCUGGACAGAUAGGAUGCCAAAAACCAACGACUUUCAUGUGGUAUUAGACAGAAAGGAAGAACUUUUUUUCUCCUCCAUUUGAAAACGUGGACGUUUUCAGCACUACUGAUUCCAAUCAAUGCAAGUCAUCAGAAUCAGGAGACUCAUCUUAAACCUGCUACUUGAAAUUGAGACGAGGAUCCUGAACAUCCCUAAUUAGACAUUUCAGAUGCCUGCAAACUCUGCCUCUUACCUGACUGCAGGAAGUAAAGAGAGAUUCUUCUGUCGGACUGCAGGACACACAUGUGACCGCUUGUGUGUGCACUAGAAGAUGAAAAAUUGCUCGUUUUACAACGAAGAUUGGUACCAAGUGAAGCAUCAACAAAAAAAAAAGUGUUUUGUAUUUUAGAGGAAAGUAAUAAUUUUAUCAAACGCAGUGAGGUCUUGGUUUUCUUGCACCCCACUUUACAGUGAGGUCCACAGUAGUUUCACACCCUGCAAUUUUGCAAGUUCUCCCACUGACAAAUUAGGGAGAUGUUUGAAAUGUUCAUCAUAGAUGUAUUUACACUGUUAGA